AACUGUGCGUCUUGAACCUCUGUGGGCCAGACCUUGUUCAAGGUUCUUGCAAUGGGAAGACAUGUGUGUUGUAACUUCCCGCUUCCAGGGGUCUGCCGACUCUUCCAGGGGUCUGCCGACUUUGGCCGAAGACCAUCAAAGUUCAGACUCUUGGCCUCUGCCCCUCUUGCUACUUUCUCAUUGAUCAGUUUUCCCACAGGGGUUUUGUACCUUGAAGGCUUUUUUUCCCCCUUUCUUUUCUUUAAUUGUCAGACUUUAUAGCACUACUGCACCUGGUCAGGAAACUCCCUGUAGCCUGCCUUCUGACAUAGAGAACCUCCAACGUCACCAGUCACUCACACCUGCUCCCUUCCCCAACAAAAGGUUCUUCAGUGUGUCCAUUUCUCUCGGGGAUGAACUGGAUCGUGAAGGAAGGGACAACAGGUGGCAGUGUGACUUCCUCAAAGAUCGUCACCCCUUUGGAAAUGCACAGUCUCCCCUUCCCCCAAUGUCACUGAAUCUCUUAGUGUUGUUGGCAUGAGAUCCAACUUAUGGGCCACUCUCCACCAUGAUGGCAACCUUCCUCCAACACGCCACACUGAGCUGUGGGGUACUACAGUGCAUUGCUCGGACAGGAGAAAUGAGUAGAGGUUGCAUAGACCGUCUUUUCCCCCAGAUGUUGAGAGCUGCUGUUUUUUUCUUCCUCUGAGGAAGUAUUCUCUAUUUCUAUUCUAGUCUUUGGGGGGAAAAAUGAAACAAGAGACAAGAGGGGAUGAGAACUUGUCAUCGCUGGGUGCAGGGGCCAUUGCAUACUAUUUUUUGCUAUAAAUACAGAAUACUCUGGAUACCUGCACACAGCAAGAGGCACCCAUGUGUCUGCCAAAAUAAACACGAUUCUGCCCUGGGUUGUGUUUUUCAACAGUGUGAAAAGGUGCCAAUUUUUAAAACUGAAUUUUAAACGUUAUAACCACACCCCCCAUGGCUUGUCCUUCCUGCUGCCUCAGCAGGGACCACUUUUUAAGCAGCCAUCCUUGAGUAGCGAGGCCUGGUGAGCAGGCACUACCUUCACUGUGUUCUAGGGGAGAUCAAGGAAGGGAGGAGGGGGAUUAUGGGAAGGGGCUGUGGAGCUCUGAAAGUGAGCCAGAACCCUUGCACCCCAGGGCAACUUAACAAUCAGAGCAGGAAUUUCUGUGGUGAUUUUGCACACACGACUUUCAUGCCUAAUCCUCAGUGCUUCUGCACAUGUGUUCCAUAUGUUCAUCCCGAACUUAGCUUCCAGCUGGAACUCGCUCAGGAACGACCUGUGACAUUUUCACAUUCGCACAUGGAACAGGCCAGUGAGUCCUCGGAUGCCACGCCUUUGCUUUGCCACCACUUCAUGCCCUGUUGUCAUUUUACAGGGUAGGUAGAAAGGGGCCCCUAAGGUAAUCCCAGUGGGUCCCAGUGAGUGGAAAGAGCCAAUGUAAAGACAGAGGCCAAUUGUUGUAAAAGGUCAUAGCUGCUUUCACCAGUUGUAGUAGGACCGGUGGAAAGGUACCAGAGCAAUGAAAAUGAAGUAUCUCAAGAGAUGGGAGCAGGCAUCCUGCGUCCCAUAGCCUGUUCAGAUUUGCAACCAGUCUUAUUGCUAGAGGAGGUAGGACUGGGGGCUGGAGAGUAUGUUUGCUUUGGCUGAAGGAGACAAUUUAAAAACAGGCUAAAAAUAGGGAGAACAGGAAGGCACCCAUGCCUUUAUCAAAGGAAAGUAUGCCGGUUACUUAUAUUGAGCGCCGAGUUCUUCCAGACUAAUGGAAGUUAAUGGAAACAUUGCUCCUCCCGGCAUGGUGAGACCAGAGGCAGUGGCAGUGACUGUGGGUGCCGGGAGUGGGAACUGUCUUGGGAAGGAUAACUUAGGAGAUGGAUGAGCCUCGCUGAGAAUGUUCUGGACUCACACCACGUUCGAUGGCUUGCUGUUCCAGAAGCCUCCUGCUUUAGAUGUAGACCUAGCCCAGCCCCGAGCAGCUGAGAAACAACUGAGAGGCCCCCUCUUGUCACAAAGGUGUCCUCUGACCCUCCUGUGAGCAAGCAGACAGAGCCCACCAUUUUUGGAAGAACCGGCUGUGCAGGUCUCGCCUCUUCCGUGACUGAAGUCAGGGAGAGACUUUGCACAAGCCAGUAUAGCGGAGCCAAGUUACAGGCAUAAUUGAAAACAUUUGUAAAAUAAACAGACUCUCUCUAUAUAUACAUUAUUUAUAUAGACAGUUCUCUUGACAUUGAGCUUAUAACUGAUAUGUAUAUGAGGAUCAGGGAAAGAGAUCCUAUUUAGUUUUACUUUGUGUGACUUGUAUUUUCCACCAAUAAAAGAAGACGUGUGUUUUUGUAGCUAAGGGCAUGUAAUCUUCACAGUAUUGGAACACUGCUUUUCAAGGGGAGAGCUUAUUAAUAACUAACUAACAACAACAAUAAUAAUAACAAUAACAAUCAGCUAGACAAUCUGGAUACCUUUGUUCUGUUCUGGCUCUGACACUAGGCAGUAGCUGUGUGACCUUGGCCAGAUCACUUAACCUUUCUUAACUUCAAUUUCCUGCUCUGAAACCUAAGGCCAUUGGCAUGGGCCAGUGAGUAUCAAGCUGGCAUCCUCGACUCAUUAGAAAUCACAAAAGCAACUCAGUGAAUUGAGAUCAACAUCCAAAGGAAGAAUAGAAUAAAAAGCGUUGCGAUGC
rnacentral:lncRNA from 1 species